rnacentral:rRNA from 1 species
CCUACGGGGGGCUGCAGUGGGGGAUAUUGCACAAUGGGGGGAACCCUGAUGCAGCGACGCCGCGUGGGUGAAGGAGUGCUUCGGCAUGUAAAGCCCUAUCGGCAGGGAAGAAGCAAGACGGUACCUGACUAAGAAGCCCCGGCUAACUACGUGCCAGCAGCCGCGGUAAUACGUAGGGGGCGAGCGUUAUCCGGAUUCACUGGGUGUAAAGGGAGCGUAGACGGCCAUGCAAGCCAGGGGGGAAAGCCCGGGGCCCAACCCCGGGACUGCCCUUGAAACUGUGCGGCUAGAGUGCGGGAGGGGCAGGCGGAAUUCGUGGUGUAGCGGUGAAAUGCGUAGAUAUCAGGAGGAACACCGGAGGCGAAGGCGGCCUGCUGGACCGCGACUGACGUUGAGGCUCGAAAGCGUGGGGAGCGAACAGGAUUAGAUACCCGGGUAGUC